rnacentral:miRNA from 1 species
AUAGGACUUUCUAUUUUGUGCU